rnacentral:rRNA from 1 species
AUGAAAGCGGAGCAGAGCGGGGUUAGCCCCACGUCCCGGCAUCCGGCCGACCUGAAGGAAAGGUACGUGGCGCCGGAGGAGGAAGUUGCGGUGCGCCGAUCGAUCGAUCGGUGGUUCAAUUGGGAUCCAACCACCAGCGCAUCGCGCGCACACCCCAUGUGCCACGCCCGGCGUCGGCCGGUGGCUGCGCCGUGCAUGCGCCACGCGUGGAGCGGCCAGUUGAGAGCAACGAACCACCGCUCUCGAGGCGAGAUCUCGCGCGCCAACAGAUGCAGAUUCAGAUCUUCUCCUUCCCCUGGCCUUCCCCUAGGUGGCCAUUAUUGGCUCCCCGAUGUUACUUGCGACUGCAAACUCCGGCCGGCCGCACGGGACGCACGGCAUGUGGUGGCCUGGACUGGCCUCCUGCUCUCGAGCGAUCGGAUCCAACCACCUCCCCAACAGACCCUGCCUGCCGGCACCGCCUCGUGUCAACCGAGAUCGUACUACCACGUUGCCCUGCCCGGCCUUCCCAACGGAACCGACAGUCGGGACAUGACCGAAAAGAAAAGGAUCCGUGACCGUCCGGUGCGUAGAGUACGGCCGAGGGAGAGAGGGGCAAGGCGGGCGGGGCGGCCAUUGACGGGGUUCUCGGUCGCGGGGGCUGCCCGCCCUUUGGUGCGUCGCAGGGGGACGAAAGGGCAACGCCGUGUACCGGAUCGGCAUCGGCGGAACGCUGCGGCGGCCGUUCCUUUGUACUUUACCCCGCAGCGGUCGAGCCCUGCAGGGCAAAGUUUGAUCCCAUCCCAACCGGCCAAACUCCCCUGCUCCGGGAACACCAUGCUUUCAACUCGUGUGAGACCUCCACCGCCCGAAUAUAGAGGUAAUAGCACCCCAGUCCCAGGCCAAUCACAGUGCGCCAAUUGGCUGGGCCGCUCCUCGCUCCGCAGGCUCGCGCCGCCGCCGCCGCCCUCUCCGUCGGCCCCGCAGCUUCCUCGUCACGCGCCGAGCGCGGCCGCUGGAGCCGAUGGCAAAGCUGGUGCCGCCCCUCCCGGCGUCGUCGCGCGCCUCAUGGGCCUCGAGUCCCGGCCCGCCGCCCCCGGCGCGGCCGCGGCCGCGCCGCUCAGGCCGCAGAAGCAGACGAAGGUGGAGGCGUCGGCGGGGGGAGGAGACAAUGAGCCGGCGCCGGUGGUCGUGAUGCUGCCGCCGAGCCGGCGCCCCCCCCCGCGCCCGGCUCGCCCACGCACGCGCCGUGGAGCCACCACAGUGCCGACCUGCCGGCGAGGAGCCCCAAGCGGAGCCGCCUCGUGCACGCCACCGCGUCGAGGCUGCUGGAGCCGGGCGCGCGCGCGAGCUCGAGGGCCGGCGCCAGGCUGCAGGCCAUCGCGUACGCCUGCUCCUCGCCGCAGCACCGCGGCCACCCCGGCGCCCCGCAGCAGAGCUGGGGCACGCCAGGCUGCAGACCAGACGAACUAUUCCGACUUAUCGGCUCCUGUCAAUAAUGCUGAGACUAUAUACAAUUCCAAUGAUCAAUCACCUGAGUUUCACAAGAGCUAUCAGAGACUGCUAAGGAAGCACUUACAUGAAUCCAUGCCUGCAUGCACCGAGGGAGGCAGUACCGCCAAUGUUCACCAGCUACGCCUUCUUCUUCUUUAG